UUAAUUGAAACCAAAAAGAGGUAUAUUAUUGUUAAUAAUAAAAUUGAAUGGAACAUUCCAAUUAAG
rnacentral:tRNA from 1 species